rnacentral:lncRNA from 1 species
UGGGGACAUUGUGAGGUGGCAGCCAGGUGUGACAGCAUGGAUGAGGGAGGGAGGGCAGGACAUGCUACCCCUUCACCUACCUGUAGGGGCCCCAGUGACCUCUGAGGGCCACCUUGAGCCUUGCAGACUCUGUCUCUGGAUUCCAAAGAGCUGACAUUCCCCAAGGGGCAUCAAGGGGCCACCUGGAGAAGCCCAUGGUCAGGGCCGCUCCUGGGCCACCAACCUCAGCAGCCCACCGUGUGACCGUCUGGGAGGAGUCUGCAGGGAGAGGCGACCCCACGGCCGAAGCAAGCUUGGAGCUCACUAGGAAAGGACGGCAGGGGGAGGGGACAGGCAGGUGGUCAGAGUGGGGGAGAGCCAGAGGAAGGGGCUCUCAAGGACCGUGGGGAGUCCCAGGGUUUGCGGCUUAAGCGAUCCCUAGGGCUACAGUGGAGAAGGGGCUCCCUGGGCCUCCCUCCCGAGCCAGGGAGGGUUUCUGGUGCUGCUUCCUGGACAAUGAGCCACCCUUGGCCUUGACUGUAGGGAGUUCCCAGGAGACUGGCCAGUCACAAAUGCUCAGGUGCUAAGGACUAUGUCGGGGAAAACUCAUCCCCUUGCCAUGCCCAGGGACCCAGUCCCUACCUAGCCCUGGCUUCCCUGGGACCCAUGCUGCUCCUGAGUCUGCCAGCCUGAGCCCACACCCACUGGCCCUCUCUCUGUAGGGUGACUUGGCGGGGGUCACGCCAGUGUGUGCAGUCAAGGAGGCUUGGUGACAGGCCGCCUGCAUCCUCUGGAGAAGGUUCUGUAGUUACCAAUGGCUUGGUGUCUCAUGGGCAUCUCCCUCAGCGUACUCUGGAUCGAGGACAUCAUCUGGAGCCCUCUCUCCCUGCUCCAGGCGGGGACCCUGGCUCUGCCUGCCCCUGCUGCCAGCAGCUGAUUCCCAUGAUAGUCACCACCCAGGCCCUCUGGGGUGACCCCAGGGCCAGGCCCAAGACCCAGGGUUCCCACAGAGUGGACACCUCCUGCGAGUUCCAGCCUGGCUCCCCUGCCUGGAGGGAGCCCCAGAAGCCAAUGCUGGGAAACUCAUCGCUCUGCGAACCCCACCCUGGACCUGGUUCAGGACACGCAGAGGGGCACCGAGCAGG